AUUACAGGCGUGAGCCACCGCACCCGGCUCUAUGCCUGUUUUCAAGCAGUGUAACUCAUCUGUCAUGAGACCUGGAACAAGUUACUGUCUUUCUGAGGAUUGUAACCUUAUAGUGAUUGUAAUCUUUGUCCAUCUACCUCAUAAGGAUGUUGUGAGGAUCACAUAAAUGAGGUUAAAGCUCUUUGUAAAUUGCAUCCUGCUAUUAGAGACAGGAGUUCCUUGGGGCAGUUGGGCCUUUGACCAGAGGUUGGGCUGCCCUACUGUCUGGGCUUUUCCAAGUAGUAGAGGAAACCACCAUGGCAGAGUUCUUUGGAAGGACCUGCUCUGGACCUACACUUUGUCAUAGCAGGCAGGGCUUAUUCACAAAACUUAUCUUCCUCAGGUACCAUAGGAGAGGAGGUUAUGAUGUGGAAAAUGAAGAGAAAGUGAAGUUGGGCAUGACUAAUUCCCACUGAGAGAGACUUGUGCUCAAGGAAUCGGCUGGGGACUGCUACCUCUGAGAAGACACAAGGUGAUUUCAGACUGCAGAGGGGAAAGACUUCACAUCUAGUCACAAAGACUCCUUCGUCCCCAGUCGCCAUCUAGGAUUGGGCCUCCCAUAAUUGCUUUGCCAAAAUACCAGAGCCUUCAAGUGCCAAACAGAGUAUGUCCGAUGGUAUCUGGGUAAGAAGAAAGCAAAAGCAAGGGACCUUCAUGCCCUUCUGAUUCCCCUCCACCAAACCCCACUUCCCCUCAUAAGUUUUGUUUAAACACUUAUCUUCUGGAUUAGAAUGCCGGUUAAAUUCCAUAUGCUCCAGGAUCUUUGACUGAAAAAAAAAAAAAAAAGAAGAAGAAGGAGAGCAAGAAGGAAAGAAUUGUGAACUGGAAGAAAGCAACAAAGAUUGAGAAGCCAUGUACUCAAGUACCACCAAGGGAUCUGCCAUUGGGACCCUCCAGUGCUGGAUUUGAUGAGUUAACUGUGAAAUACCACAAGCCUGAGAACUGAAUUUUGGGACUUCUACCCAGAUGGAAAAAUAACAACUAUUUUUGUUGUUGUUGUUUGUAAAUGCCUCUUAAAUUAUAUAUUUAUUUUAUUCUAUGUAUGUUAAUUUAUUUAGUUUUUAACAAUCUAACAAUAAUAUUUCAAGUGCCUAGACUGUUACUUUGGCAAUUUCCUGGCCCUCCACUCCUCAUCCCCACAAUCUGGCUCAGUGCCACCCACCCUUGCCACAAGCUGGGAUGGUUCUGUGACCC
rnacentral:sRNA from 1 species